rnacentral:tRNA from 20 species
UACGGACUUAAAAUCCGUCGACUUUAGAAAUCGUGAGGGUUCAAGUCCCUCUAUCCCCA